UUCCGUAGGUGAACCUGCGGAGGGAUCAUUGCUGGAACGCGCCCCAGGCGCACCCAGAAACCCUUUGUGAACUUAUACCUUACUGUUGCCUCGGCGCAUGCUGGCCCCCUCGGGGUCCCUUGGAGACAAGGAGCAGGCACGCCGGCGGCCAAGUUAACUCUUGUUUUUACACUGAAACUCUGAGAAAAAACACAAAUGAAUCAAAACUUUCAACAACGGAUCUCUUGGUUCUGGCAUCGAUGAAGAACGCAGCGAAAUGCGAUAAGUAAUGUGAAUUGCAGAAUUCAGUGAAUCAUCGAAUCUUUGAACGCACAUUGCGCCCUCUGGUAUUCCGGAGGGCAUGCCUGUUCGAGCGUCAUUUCAACCCUCAAGCAUUGCUUGGUGUUGGGGCACUGCCUGUAAAAGGGCAGGCCCUGAAAUCUAGUGGCGAGCUCGCCAGGACCCCGAGCGCAGUAGUUAAACCCUCGCUUUGGAAGGCCCUGGCGGUGCCCUGCCGUUAAACCCCCAACUUUUGAAAAUUGACCUCGGAUCAGGUAG
rnacentral:rRNA from 1 species